GUGUAAGUAUAAAUAAUUUUACUUUGAAACUGCGAAUGGCUCAUUAUAUCAGUUAUAGUUUAUUAGAAAUAUUUUACUACUUGGAUAACCGUAGUAAUUCUAGGGCUAAUACAUGAGUAAAACCUCAACUUCGGAAGAGGUGUGUUUAUUAGUAUGAAAACCAUAUAUCUUCGGAUAUAAUAGUGAGUAAUAAUAACCUUUCAUAUCGUAUGUCGUAAGAUAACGAUAGUUCUUUCAAGUUUCUGCCCUAUCAGCUUUCGAUGGUAGUAUAUGGGACUACCAUGGCAGUAACGGGUAACGAAGAAUUUGGGUUCGAUUUCGGAGAGGGAGCCUGAGAGAUGGCUACCACAUCCAAGGAAGGCAGCAGGCGCGUAAAUUACCCAAUCCUGACAUAGGGAGGUAGUGACAAUAAAUCACAAUGCGGAACUUUUAGUUUU
rnacentral:rRNA from 1 species